rnacentral:misc_RNA from 1 species
AUACCACUGCAUCAUAUUAAAUUAUGUACUUUGGCCAAACGGCAGUCUAUGUGAAUUGCAAGCUAUUAUCAUGUGAAGUUUUAAGUCACAGAAGAUCCCACAAAAUUUCCUUCCAACAAUAACCCUAUUCUAGUAUCACAAGUAUUGUAUACAUAACAAAAUGAUGGGCAAUCAAGUUGUUAAAACUUUUAAAUUUUCAGGUAUAAAAGGAUGACGGUUGGCUGUUACCAUUCCUGAAAAUAUGAACAGCCACCAAGAUACUGUUACCAUUACCCUACCUCACCUUCAUCUCAAAAGCAACCUGACCACCAAUACCCCAGGAUCCCUAAUUGGUGUUGUAUAUUAAUAGAGUAAUAAAAAUGCCAAUGUACAACACUAUUGGGCGCUGUAUGUUAACAAAUUUUAGAACCUAACAUGGCCAAUCCUACAUGGUCUUUUCAGGUAGAAAUCAGGUCAGACAACAAUUAAUGGUCACCCAUAAAAGUGAAUGCAACAAUUAUGAUAAAAUUUAAAUUCAUAUUCAUAUAUUUAAACAUGUCAAUUCCCGACAAAUGCAACUUCUAAGUUGAUGCUCUCGAAGAUCAAUAAAAGCUUCUUUUCAAUCAAUAUUAAGUUGUUGAUUUUAGUAAUCAUUACAUACACAAAAUCAAAAGUGUUGAAGUGCCACACUUGUAACUAGCAGUCAUCAAGUGAGAAAAAAGAAAAGAAAACUAAUAUCUAACUAUUGCCACAAAACAUAUUAAGAAUUAAAUCGAUUGUCAAUUGCUAUCCCAACUUAUAAUAAAAUAGAAAAUGACCAUUUGUGAUCCUAAUUACAAGUGAAACCAUAAAAGAAAAAUCCUCCAAAUUGUAUAAGUAGGUUAGAUCAAAUUUCACAAGGAAUUUUUUUUUUAAAUCAACAACUUAGAACUUCUUACACACACAUGCAAAACAAGGACAAAUUUAAGUCAAACUUAAGUGACCAAAUUA